CACAGGUUUCCUGUGCUAGGGACACGGAAGUGCCCUCUAGUGGCGGUCUAGUAGACAGCCACUAGAGGUGGAGUUAACCCUGCAAUGUAAUUAUUGCAGUUUAUAAAAAACUGCAAUAAUUACAGUUGCAGGGUUAAGAGUAGUGGGAGUUGGCACCCAGACCACUCCAAUGGGCAGAAGUGGUCUGGGUGCCUGGAGUGUCCCUUUAAGGUGG